CAGCAGCCGCGGUAAUACGUAGGGUCCGAGCGUUGUCCGGAAUUACUGGGCGUAAAGAGCUCGUAGGUGGUUUGUCGCGUUGUUCGUGAAAACUCACAGCUCAACUGUGGGCGUGCGGGCGAUACGGGCAGACUAGAGUACUGCAGGGGAGACUGGAAUUCCUGGUGUAGCGGUGGAAUGCGCAGAUAUCAGGAGGAACACCGGUGGCGAAGGCGGGUCUCUGGGCAGUAACUGACGCUGAGGAGCGAAAGCGUGGGGAGCGAACAGGAUUAGAUACCCCAGUAGUCCCUGUCUCUUAUAA
rnacentral:rRNA from 1 species